rnacentral:rRNA from 1 species
GUCGAGCGGUAGAGAGAAGCUUGCUUCUCUUGAGAGCGGCGGACGGGUGAGUAAUGCCUAGGAAUCUGCCUGGUAGUGGGGGAUAACGUUCGGAAACGGACGCUAAUACCGCAUACGUCCUACGGGAGAAAGCAGGGGACCUUCGGGCCUUGCGCUAUCAGAUGAGCCUAGGUCGGAUUAGCUAGUUGGUGAGGUAAUGGCUCACCAAGGCGACGAUCCGUAACUGGUCUGAGAGGAUGAUCAGUCACACUGGAACUGAGACACGGUCCAGACUCCUACGGGAGGCAGCAGUGGGGAAUAUUGGACAAUGGGCGAAAGCCUGAUCCAGCCAUGCCGCGUGUGUGAAGAAGGUCUUCGGAUUGUAAAGCACUUUAAGUUGGGAGGAAGGGCAGUAAAUUAAUACUUUGCUGUUUUGACGUUACCGACAGAAUAAGCACCGGCUAACUCUGUGCCAGCAGCCGCGGUAAU